AAUCACUAGUCUUUUAAUUGGAGGCUUGUAUGAAUGGUUGAAUGAGAUAUAUACUGUCUUUUUUAAAAUUAUAUAGAAUUUUAUUUUUUAAUUAAAAAGUUAAAAUAAAAUUAAAGGACGAGAAGACCCUAUAGAUCUUUAUUUUUGUUAUUUAUAAAUUAAAAAGAAUUUUAAAAUUUAUAAUUUAAUAAAAAAUUUUAUUGGGGUGAUAUUAAAAUUUAAAAAACUUUUAAAAUUUAUUAACAUAAAUAUAUGAAUAAAUGAUCCAGUUUUAUUGAUUAAAAAUUUAAGUUACCUUAGGGAUAACAGCGUAAUUUUUUUUUAGAGUUCAUAUCGACAAAAAAGAUUGCGACCUCGAUGUUGGAUUAAGAGUUAUUUUUAGGUGUAGAAGUUUAAAGUUUAGGUCUGUUCGACCUUUGAAUUCUUACAUGAUCUGAGUU
rnacentral:rRNA from 1 species